GCCCCGUUCGUCUAGCGGCCUAGGACACCUGCCUUUCACGCCGGCAACACGGGUUCGAAUCCCGUACGGGGUAC
rnacentral:tRNA from 1 species